rnacentral:tRNA from 1 species
GCUUUCAUCGUCUAAUGGAAGGACUACUGAUUUGUAAUCAGUGUAUCCUGGUUCGAAUCCGGGUGGAAGCU